UGUAUUUUUUAAAUCAUUUUGAUCUGUCGCAGUCAUAACUUGGGGCUGGGGGAUCGGUUUGUUGUGCAAACCCUCCUGGGGGGUUUGGUACCCGGUUCCUGCCUCCCUGUGCUCAGCAUCUUCCUCCGACACUGAGACGGUUCCUUCUCCUGCUCGGUGGGGAGCAGGAGGGGUUUUUGCCACUCUGUUUUAUUUUCCUGCUCCGUUCCAGAGCACGGACUCACAAAUGCUCAUAGUGAUGUGAAUUGGGAGGUGGCAAAGGACAGGGACUGAGGCUGGGAGGAGGAAGAGUAAACCUCCUACUGUUUAUUUAGCUGCCAGGUUAGUGUAAUAUUGGAAGAAAUAAAGGAAAAAAAACCUGAACACACCCCCCCCCCAAAAAAAAAUAGCCUCAAAAACCAAAAUAAAACACAUCCCCAUGCCCCUUAUCCAGACAAAGGGCAGGAAAAUGACAGCAGGGAAUGGGAGAACUCUCAGCCCCACCAUAGUCAUGCCUAAGACUUCUAAAUUGCAGCUAUGGGAGAAAUCCAAUUUAAAUAAUAAUGAGAGAAAUGCAGGCUGUGUCCAGUUCACUUUGUUCACCACACAGCCGCAGUGAGCUCAGACUUUUCCUAGUCUUCGCUUGCUGCUUUUUAAACUGUACUUAUAGGCAGCUCCUUUGUUCCCAGGCAGGUCUAAAAUGCCCCUGGUUUCAGGACCUGUUCUCAGGGAGUUAAAGGCCAAAGGCAAUUGGUCUGCGAGAUGCGGAUGUUAUUAACCCAUCCCUGUUUGCUUCCAGCUUUCCCUUUAUUCCAUGCUACGUGGGUUUUUUCCCCGGCUCUGUGUGUGUCUAUUGAACGGACAGGCCCACGAACAGCAGAGAGUGAAUAACGAGUCAGGAAUCCCAGCGGGGCUGGUUAAAGUGGGUUUUGCUAUGCAAAUAAAAUUAGCAAUCCAAAUGAGCCCAUUUCUCCUCGGUUUUUGCUUCUCCUCUCCCUGGUUUUGCCUCCCAGUCGAAGGGACAGAGAUAAUGGUUUAAUGUCUUCUAUUAAGUGAUUUGCAUUUGGACACCAGGAUUACAACAGAGUAUUUGUCAAAUAUCAGAUCCCCUUGGUUCCUCCCCACAACUCUUUUAAGACAAUAUCUGGAAAAAAGAAAUCCUGUUGCCUUGAAAAACUUAGUUUGAUAGAACUCUGCCUUAUAAUUAAGCAGCUUCUUUAAUACUUAAAUCCACCUUUGUUGAGUAAAAGGAUUGAAUUAUGUGUUGGUAGUUUCUACAGUGAAAAUGCCUUGAACUUUGCUCUGAAUCGGUUGUGCCAGGAGCCGCUUGUUCCAUUUACUGCCCUGGGAGCCGACUCCACCUUUCCUUGCCGAAAAUAAACCCACAAAGGAAUAUGAAAUGAGCUUCUCCAGAGCAGAAGUUUCUUAAGGGGGACACACGUUAUAUUUUUGUAGCCGUCUACACCACAUUUAGGGCUGGUGUUUCGAGGAUGUAAAGGGCAUCCAUACCAUACUGAGAACAGUCCUUGCUAUUGAUUGUAGUUCCAUCAUAAUUAAAGGUGAUAUGAAGCGCUUGAACACGGUGGAGCUUUUAUUGCUUUGUGGUGCCUAAUACAGCAUUUAGAAUAGUUCGAGCUGGUUUCCCCCCUAAAUGAUCUGAUUUGUACAAAAUAUUAAGGAAACAUUUUUUCUUUAUAUUUGCUCAGCUCCCUGUUAGAAAUCCCUCAUUUAUUUUCAUUUGUUUUCAAAACUGGCGAUUAUAGGAGGGGAAAGGAGGUGCUGAACCUCUUUAUAAACCUAUAUGUUGCUAUGCCAGUGCGUUAAACUUUAAUAUCAGUACGUUAAAGCCCAAUAAAAGGGUGAUUACUGGGAGUCUACAAUGAAGUCUUUGAUUCUUCUGCAACAGUUUGGACAAGUUAUUUUUAGUGUGUGCCUGUGUUUUCCCAAUUUUAAUACACGGCAAUUUGAUUGCAAUGCUGUCCUCAGCUGAUGGUUGUGAAGAGUUUGGGGGAGAUGGGGACAGGUUAAUGGGUGGUGACAUUAUGACAGCAAACGAAGCCAAUUCUGACCCCCCCCGGUGCAUCCAGAAUAUUCGUGUAUUUGAGGGCACAAACUGCAGGCUGGUAAAAGCGUAUUUAAUUUAGUUCUUGAAUUUAACUUUAGGAGAACCUGCAAUCACCUCAGAAUGUUCAGCAUGUUGAAAUAAGGACUUAAAGGAUUUCUUUUUCUCCGAAGCCUUUUCACAAUUUUAAAGCCAGUGUUUGUCACUGCUUUUGUGAAGUUUUCAGUACCAAAAUAUUUUAUGUCUAAGAUUAAUAGUUUGCCCUAUAUCUUUUGGCCCAAAUACAAUUAAUUAAUAACUAUUUACUGAAGUAAAUGUGGCUUAUUUCCUUCCCUCUGUGUUCUUCAGAGGCGGGGGCUGGUUUAGGAUGGAUCAUAGGAGGGUAUUCAAGUCAGUCUCCUUGGUGUGUUACAGGCUACAGAUCAGGAAAACAAAUCACAUUAAAAAUAUAAAUAUAUAUAUAUUUAUUAUAUAUUUUAUAUAUACAUUAUAUAUAUAUUUAUUGUGUAUAUAUCUUUUAAAUAUAAAUGUAUAUUUUUAUAUAUAUAUAUGUUGAGGAGCUAAAAGUGAGAGUUUAACACUAUGAGAGACAGCAGCUCCUGGCUUGUAUAAGGACCAUUUUUUCUGGAUAAAAUGGGGGUUUUUUACAUAGGAACAUAUUGAUAAAUUCCUCCCAGCCCCAACACACACGAGGGCAGAUCCUUGGUGUAGAAAUCAAGGGCAUUUCACAGAAUAGCUUCAAUGUGAGCUGGUUUCAGUCUCGUGAGUCUGGCUGGAAGUUUAUGAGUGGGGUGAGAAGGUGACUUCCCAUCAGCAUCAACCGGAGCUGCAGUUCAGCUCCAUAGAGGCACAAACCCUUUGGAUAACUGGUCAGAAACCGUGUCAGCCCAACACGGUCCAUGGGAAGCAACUGCAGCUGUAUCAGUGCCCCAUCGCAUCCGAAUUAGAGGAGAACACCCCGAGGAGCUGCUGGUACCCAGACACAAUUAUUGCUCGUGGGCAGUAAUUAUGAGACCGAAUACAAGCACCAGGGAAUAUUGUUUACUCGGUUUAAACACACAGAAAGGUUUAUUGCUUCCAAAUAAAUUCAACUCAGAGCUGGGUUGAGAUUCAAAUCUUUUAUUAAAUAUACAGCUAAUAUGACUAAAAUUAAUAACAUAAGCUCUAAGGCAGUGAAGCAGCACAUUGAAUAGCAUGGAAGGUAUAAAAAUGUAUUUAUACAGCGGCAGAUAGUGAAAUGCUCUUCCUGCUUCUAAAAAGAAAACAAUCUUUCUGUAUGUGUUUAUUCCACACAUGGAUUUUAGUGAUAAAAACAGUGACAGUAGAAUAUUCAUCAGAAUAAUUACAGCAAGAAUAUGUGAAUACAGCAUUAAGGACUAGAGUCAUAUCUGCAUUUUUUUGCCUUCUCUGAGCAUGUUUUAUGCAUACCUAUCCUUUCAAAUUGGCUGCAUAGGACAGCUCACAGGAUUUGUUUUAUUAUUACCAAUUUACCCAAUAACACAUUUUAAUAAAAGUCACGUAGGUCUUGUUUUCACUUCUUUUAAAAAUAAUCAGUAAAGGGUAGUGCUGCUGAAAGGUCAAACUUGUUUCAUUUCAAGAAACGCCACAACUCACAAAACCCCCUUGAUCGUGUUGAGCAUCUUGGUAAUAGAAACAGUGAAGCUUCCAAUAAGAGACUGUAGGUUCUGUUAAACCCAAAGGGUGUUGGACAAUGAGGCUUUUAGAGGAAUGGAAUCCAACAGCUGAUGUUCGGGGAUAGCACAGGUAAAAGAUCAAAUGUAGUGGCCUAAUAACUUGAUGAGACAUUGCAAUAUACCAAAAGGCUCCGUAAAAUAAUUGUACCUUCCUAAAAGACGUGCUAGUGUGAGUCAUUCUAACCAGGACGUAGAUCCCGUCUUCACCAUCGGGGCAAUUCGGGGCAAGACCAUUUCCUAACUGGGAAAUUCCUGACAGUUCAGUGGGACGUGGUUGAUGGAGUGAACCGUGUUAUCUUCAUUCUCACGCCUCAGGGCAAGAGGAUGCUCAUCCGCUGAGCUCAGGAAUAUGUUUGAUUGUGCUGCUGUAUUGCACAAGGAGGGAUGUUGGAUUGAGAAACCCAACAAUGGCACAGGCCAUUGCUGCUGCUCAGGGUGGGGAGGAUAAAGGCCUCUGAAAGGACUUUUCUGUCAGUAUAAAAAUAAAUUAGACCUCAUUUGAAAGUACAACGUAGCCACAGUGUUGGGUUAAUGGUUGGACUUGGCGAUCUUACAGGGUUUUUUCCAAGCAAAAUGAUUCUAUGAACAGGGUGCAUUGACCUGUUGCUGAAUUUAGCUGGUUUAGAUCUACAGUGUCUUCCUCAAAGCUGCCGGGUUGUCAUGUCUGCACCCACCAAAUUUCGGGAAAAUCAGACAACAGGUCCAAAAGUGACCACCAUACAGAUAGCUGGUGAGUGCAGGAGCCUGGGUUCUUAGUUCAGAAAAUAGAUCUUGACCUACCUACAUAUUAUGGACGUGCAAGCUCUUGACUUUGCUUGUCUCUCUCUAUACUUUGCAGGCAUUACCGCAUGGGUUCGGGUGUUAACAAGACAAAAACGGAAGCAGUGCAGGUGAAUAAGCCUUCCAGAUAAGCCCACGCUCCAGUGAGAAGGCCCAGCCAUCAGACUUCAUGGAUUCUUCUGACAACGAUGGAGCCGGACUAUCUGGCUGAAACGAUGGGCCGGGAGAUAAUCCCCUUGCAGGAUGGGAUCUCAAGAACUUGCUCCUCUGCCACCCCAGGAAACUUGUUUAAAUCUGACUCCUGUAUCAUUUGAGAGAAGUACUUAUUUCCUUAAGGAGUCCCAGCUUCUCAUCAGAACCUUACGCUCGAUGCAGCAAUGUCCUUCUAGGUGAGUAGCUACGCAAUUAAAAUGAAUUAUUGUGCGGUGGUGGCUCUUCAUGUUCUUCUGCUGGGUUGGGUAGAGCAUGCAGUAGCUGUUCCUUGCCUGGGUUAAAUUCCUUUGUUUCUUAAUGGAAUGAUCAGAGUGAUUAACCCACCUGUUCUAUGAGCCUCUAACAGGGCAGGGUAUAAGGUUGGAAGUUCAAAAGCCGUUCAACCAUGGAGGUUUAAUUGAACUGUAAGUGGGAAGAAUGACCUUUCCAACAGUAUCCUGCCCCAACCACCUUUCACAGCCAAGCACGGUGACCUACAGGCAAAAUGUCAGCCUCCUGGACAAGAAACGUGUCACGCAAAUACAUCCCAAACCCACGUUCGGAGAUGGGAAAAAAUGCACGUUGUACGGCAGAGUUGGUCCUGUCUCACCUCCACAGCAAGAUCAAGGUUGGGUAGCACCUAACGGAGCCAUUUCCAGUGACCUGGAAGUAUUUAUAAUUAUAGGUCUUUACUAUAUCUAAAAAUACUUGUGAAUAUGACAGCCAGCAUCCUUACCCUCUCGUCCAAAUGCUCCACUUUGGCCUAAAUUGUUGUACAAUGUCUUUCUGUGGGAGCUUCUCUCGAUGCAUGGUGGUGUUUGGUUCACCCUUUAAACAUCGUUACCAGACAGUGUUAGAGUAGAUCCAAAAAAUCCAGCACUGUCUAGUAAGAUGCCCACAGAGGACCAUGGUCUGUCCAGCAGUUGUAGAAGUGAAGCAUCUUAUUAAUGAUUCCAAAUUCUUCAGGAUGUCAGUGUUCCAUAAAAACUAACAGAAAUGGUUUUAGAAGGAUUAUCUCACAUCGCUACGUGUAAAUAAUUUACCAAACAUGCUAUGGGCAGAAGGAAGACAUUUGAUAUUAAAUGAUAGCUUGAAAAUCAUGGUGGGUUUCAGGAGACAGAGAUAGGAUAAAAAGUUGAUUUCAUAAAUAUCUAAAAUAGAAACAUAAGGUUAAGUUCUAUUUAAACAUUAUGUAAAAGCAGUAAGAGUUCCUGCAUUUAGUUUCUUGGCUUCCUCACAAAAAUACCAACUGAUUCAAGCCUUUCCAACCAAUUGAAAACACAUACUAAGAAUGGGUAUAUAAAGAAAACAGCACUAAGGGCACAAAAAAGCGACAAAGAUGGCCUAGCAUGUAACACAGUUAGUUGCUUUUACAACAAAUACUUUAUUGCAUUGGCUUUAGUUUAAGGGAUGCAGACAAAUGGGAGUCUUAAAUAAAAGUGACAGUGGCAAGAGACUUUGGUGUACAGUUGUUAGGCAGUAAUGUGAUGAAGCAUGGUGAGUAUGUCAUUAUAAAGAUGUUAAGGUAGUUGGCUUUGUUUCCUGCCUUUUUUAUUUUUCAGAAGAAGGGGAAGGUUGCUGUAGAACAUCACGCAACAGAGAAGGGGAAAAUCCAGCACCUGCUUCUCAGCCUUGAGCGUUUCCUUGUCCCAGAGCUCGGUGCCACCCUAAGGGGGACCCCAGAUUUCUGACCUUCCCAUUUCCCUUCCCUCACUCCUUAUUUUUGGUCUCAUGUCUUGGGGCCUCUCACUGUGUGAGGGUUGCAGAGAGCUCUGAUCCGAGCUAUACCGUGCGGGUAAUGUUAUACGGCAUGUAAUAUUUAUUAUGGCCAUAAGAUACUCCUAAGUCUUUGUGGAUCCAGCACAGUAUUUCACAUGGUAUAUACACAACCUUCCUAUCAAACUAAACCAUAAAGGAAUAUAUUUCAUCCAAGCUGCACUUCAAUUAAUCAUUCACUGAACAGUUCAGAACAGGGUUCAAGGAAACAACCAACGUUCUCCGUGCAAUAAUUAAAACCCCCAUAUAUUAAUACCAGUGAGAGAUCCCGGGGGGUAGGGAGCAGGAUAUUGUUGCAUUUUGGUGCUUAACACCUGGCAGGUGCAGUGAAACACCUGCCGUGUGUCAGAUAAAGACAUUUAGCAGCAACAACACCCCUUCUCAGUGACAGCCCUUCAGAAAUAAUCAUUUACAGUUCCCUAAAUAUCAGAUAACUGGAGUGUAACUUCCCGUCUUGUUUUAAUUAUCAGUAAAGAACAAAAAGCCUCCACGAACCAUUGAAGACAACGUUCUCCCCUCCACUAAGUCCCGUCAGACUGAGCUGGUUCUUUCACACUGACUUUAAGUCGUAUAAUUGAUUCAGGAAAAGGAACCUCAUAGAAUAGAAUAAGAAUCAAGCCCAUUGUAUUUUAAAAUGUAUCAUAAUAUUAGUCCACUAAAAUAAAGAAAACAAUCAAAGGGAAUGGGAGUUAAGUUUCGUUCUCUCUGUUCCCCUCAAAAAAGUGACAAAUUGAUGUAAAAAAUGAUGGGGAAAAUAAUUUAUACAUUAUAUAAGAGUUCAAAGAUGGAAAAUAGAUGGCUUUGCUAUGAGAGCCUUCUCCUGGAGAAGUCCAGAAGAACCGCUGUGGAGAGGAAAGCGUAAGAACAAGAGCAAAGCUGAGAGAGCAAACCCACUCUUGAUUUCGGCAGCCUAGUUCUUAUAUUAUAUUUAGAUGAAAAAGUAUCUUGAUUUUGAGAUAAAAUUAUGCACAAGAAAACUCAAAUGUUCCAUUUCAAUAAAGUGUUUACUUCCA